rnacentral:rRNA from 1 species
UACGGAGGGAGCUAGCGUUGUUCGGAAUUACUGGGCGUAAAGCGCGCGUAGGCGGCUUUGUAAGUUAGAGGUGAAAGCCCGGGGCUCAACUCCGGAACUGCCUUUAAGACUGCAUCGCUUGAAUCCGGGAGAGGUGAGUGGAAUUCCGAGUGUAGAGGUGAAAUUCGUAGAUAUUCGGAAGAACACCAGUGGCGAAGGCGGCUCACUGGACCGGUAUUGACGCUGAGGUGCGAAAGCUAGGGGAGCAAACAGG